GCGUUAGUAGCGCUCUGUUAUGAUUGGUACUCGAUGAGAGCCUGAAGACACAAUUAUUGGGUUGUUGCGGUUCUGCUUGGGGCAGUUGAUGUACCAGGUGCAGUGAGCCAAGUUUUGGUUUAUUACUUUGAAGACAUAUGGAGAAGGUUGGAAGGGAUAUGGCUUGGAGCUUAAGCAAAGACAUGUACUAAUCAAAGGAGGCCAACACAAAAUAGAUGGGAGAACUAGGAAUAAUAGGCUAAGAAGAAAUUUUGUAUAGUUGAGAUAUCGAAACUUGUAAAUGAACUUCUUAUUUGUGUUUGAAUUUGGACUUUUGGUAUGGCCAUGAACUUGAAUAAUGCUAGUUUUUUUUUGUAAAUUUUGUUGUAAUGUAUUUGCAAUGAGAGGUAAUGGAUAUGUAAUGACUUUUGAUGAUUGAAUUUGAGUAAUAUGAUUUUUUAUAUGGA